rnacentral:rRNA from 1 species
UACGUAGGGGGCAAGCGUUGUCCGGAAUUAUUGGGCGUAAAGAGCUCGUAGGCGGCUUGUCGCGUCGGCUGUGAAAACCUGGGGCUCAACCCCGGGCCUGCAGCCGAUACGGGCAAGCUAGAAUUCGGUAGGGGAGACUGGAAUUCCUGGUGUAGCGGUGAAAUGCGCAGAUAUCCGGAGGAAUACCAAAGGCGAAGGCAGUGUCCUGGCUGGCAACUGACGCUGAGGCGCGAAAGCUAGGGGAGCGAACAGG